AGAGGAGGAGAGGGGAAGGGGAAGAAAAGCUGCUGCUCCAGAUGCAAUAAGAAGCGUCCCUGCUGGUUCUCCAUUCUGCAUCCGUGCAGCCACGUUCUAUUGAUGGCCUGUUGUGAUUUCAAUGGAACAUCAUGGGAUGUACCUGGCACGUCGGGCAGCACUGGAUGGAGGUGCCUUUAGCCCAAUGUACCUGGCAUGGUAAGCGGCAACCAAGCGGUUAAAUCUGCAUUCUACUGCUCACAGUUUCAUCUUGUAUAGCAAGGUGUUCCUGCUUUGCUGCAGUCUUGCACUGAC
ensembl:lncRNA